rnacentral:lncRNA from 1 species
UUUAUUUGUAAGGGCCUAAAAAAUCGAUAAAAUUUCUUUUAUCGGACAAUUAAAUUAAUACUGAAUAUAGAAGAAACAAUCAAAUACGAGUAAUUAAAUAAUAAAAAUAAAAAGAUAAAAAUAAAAUAUGUCUUAUGUCUUUUGUCUUGGGGAGAUAUCAAAGAUUAACGGAGAAGUUUUAUCAUUAUUCAAUUAAUUUAUUAAUAUCUAGAAUAAAAUAAAACCAAAACAUGCAAUUAAAAUAGUCUAAACUUGGACCCAAAUUAAAAAAUGCAAUUUCUGAAAAAAAAAAAAACUAAAUAAAUUGUGAUGGUGAAUCAAAACAAGUAUAAAACAAAGCAACAAUGAACAAAGAUUACAAAAUAAUCACAUGGAGUCACUAAAUUCACAUGGAAUCAUCAAGUGCACAAGGUUUAAUCUUAAAUAAACAUUAACUGUGAGGAGUAAAACAUUGGAGAACAAAAUCAAUAUGUCCAACAGAAAAAUCAAGAAAAAAGAUCAGGCAGCCAUGAAAACAAACAUACAUAGAUUACCGGAGAGAAAUUCAAGCAAAAUCAAUCCAAAAUUAAUAAAACAAUGUAAAGAUAGUCCAAGAUAACAAUGGCAAUACUUGAAAUUUAUUUCCGCAAAACACACAAAUAAUGGUAAAGUGAAAAGAAGAAGAUUUCACCGGGGUUUAAGUUUUUCCGGUAGCAUGGUCAUGGUUUCCGGCCAAAUCUGAAAAUAAACAGAAAAAAAAAUAAUAGCAGUCAAAAGGGAAUGGAUCACCGGUGUUGCUUCAACGGAUAUCACCGGAGCAACACCGGAGUGGCAUUUUCGGCCAGAUCUGCCCAUUUUCCGGCGAGCAACGACGGUGGUAGCAGUGUUGCGUUGAAGCUCGAACCUUUCCGGUCACUACCUCUGGCGAGACAACGACGGGAGACGACAGAAAGAGAGGAAGCUGGGGCGGCAGAUGGUUUUUGUUGGUGGCUGAAACUCGCCCGCCGGUGAUCAACUCCGGUGAGGCACAACACAGUAGAGAAAAAGGGCCGAUGUUUGUGUGUAUGUACGGUGUAUUGUAUGUUUGUGAGAGAAACAAAAUCUGUGAGCGGGUGAUUGUAAAGUGUGUAUAAAAAGUGUUAAUGAAAAAAAAAAAUAAACCCCAUCUAUUUAUAAUAAAAAAAAGAAUAUCCUUUUAUCUAAAAAAUAAUAAACUAUCCCUUCUUGUCUCUUUAGUACAUACUUUAAAUCAUUAGAUAUUAUCCAAUAAUUUCACUCUUUUAAUCAUCAGGUAAAGAUUUUUUAUUUAACAGAUAAAAACAUCAACCCAUCAUCUCAAAUGUCAUUUUUUUAAAAAUGACGAGAUUUUAACUUAAUUAAUUUAUUACUUUAUGUAUUAAAAUAAUCAAGCCGAUUUAAGUUUACACAUUGCAUUAAAUAAUGUACAAAAAAAUAUAAAUGUCUAUAUGAUUACAGAAAAAUACAAAUAAUAAAUAUAAUAAAAUAAUAUUAAAAAAUAUAUUAUGCUAUAAAUAAUUAAAAUUAUAAUGUGCGAUAAAAAAUGAAACACUAUGCUAUGUACGAAUGCAAAUAACAGUGCAAAAAAUUUAAGAUGAUAAUAAACUGAUAAAAAAUUUAAAAUUUACAAAACUAAGGAUAAUUAUGAAUAAAUUAUGCACAAUUAAAAUAUGACAAUAAUUUGACAAAAUAUUCUAAAAAAAUAAUAAUUAUCAAUAAUUUGUUUAAAAUGUAUGAAAAGUUACAUUUUGUGCACUUUAACGAUCAGGGAGACUAAAUGCGUUAAUUUUGAGUUUGGAGAGCUAAAAUUGGGUGUCAACAGUUUGUUCCUUUUCGUUUGAAGAUAAUACAGAAGUCUUCAAACAAAAACAUUGACGUGUAGCCAAUUUUGCCCGACAAAAAUUAUUUUUGAUAAAAUUCAAACGAAUUCCAAUUUAGAGUUGUUUACAUAGUUCGAGUUGCAUGAAGAUCAAGUCGGGUAUAGCUCAAAAGUUAUUCCAACAUAUCCUAUUUUAGGUUGGACCAAAUCAAUGCUUCCUCGAAUUCUAGGCUUGCAAAAUUUAUAAAACUGAAAAACAGUAGACAAGCAUGCAAAUGAUAUGUAGUGCUUAACUAAAUUAAAGAUAAACAAAUAAAGGCAUUGCAAGAUUUCAACUAAAGACAAAUAAAAUAUUCAAUUGAAGACAGACAUGCAUUAAAAGUUUUAUUAACGUGCAGACUAACCCAAAAUGUCCUAUUUUAGGGUGGACGUACCCAAAUUAUCCACAAAUUAUAUGCUUGCAAAUGUAUCAAACUAAGAAGUACUAUUCAAUAACAUAAACGAAAAAUUAAGCUUGAUUUUUUUAAGAAAUUAAAAAUAGCAUGCAGUACUUAAUUAAUUAAGAAAAAAUGGUACAAGCAAAGAUAACAUCCAGUGCUUAAAUGUUAAAGUAAGUGUAUUGCGAUAUGUGCAGGUAAAAAUAAAGCAUGCAGUGCUUAAAUAACAAAAUAAAUGCAUUGAAAUGUGCAAAUAAAUGUAAAAAUGACAUGCAGUGCUUAAAUUAUUAAACAAAUGCAUUAUGAUAUGUGCAAGGAAAAGCCAAGAUGGCAUGUGAUGCUUAAAUAAUAAAACAAAUGCAUUGCGAUAUUUGCGAGGCCUGUAGUGCCUAUAUGAUAAAUAAAUGCAUUGCGAUAUAUGCGUGCAAUGCUUAAAUGAUAAAUGCAUUGCGAUAUGUGCUAGCAAAGGCAAAAUGACAUGCAGUGCUUAAAUGAUGAAAUAAAUGUAUUGUGAUAUUUGCGAAGCAUGUAGUGCUUAAAUGAAAAAAUGCAUUGCGAUAUAUGCGUGCAGUGCUUAAAUAAAAAAAUAAAUGCAUUGUAAUAUUUGUGAGGCAACAAUGCCUAAAUGAUAAAUAAAUGCAUUGCGUUAUGUGCGUGUAGUGCUUAAAUACAUAGCAAUAUGUAUCGAUAAAGAAAAAGAUGACAUGCGGUGAUUAAAUGAUAAAAUAAAUGUAUUGCGAGGUGCAGAUAAAAGUAAAGAUAACAUACGGUGAUUAAAUGCAUUGCGAUGCGUGCGGAUAAAUAUAAAUAAUCAUGUGGUGCUUAAAAGAUAAAAUAAAUAAAUGCAUUGUGAUGUGUGCAAGUAAAGACAGGAAUAAAAUGCAGUGCUUAAAUAAUAAAAUAAAUGCAUUAUGAUGCGUGCAAGUAAAGGCAAAAAACGAUGUUUAAACGAUAAAAUAAAUGCAUUGCGAUGCGUGUAAAUAAAGACAAAGAUAAAAUGCAGUGCUUAAAUGAUAAAAUAAAUACAUUGCGAUAUGUCCCAGUAUAGGCAAAAAUAACAUGCAGUGUUAAAUAAUAAAAUAAAUGUAUUGCUAGAUGUGCAAAUAAAGACAAGAAAAACAUACAGUGCUUAAAUAACGAAUGAUAAAAUAAAUACAUUGUGAUUCGUGCAAGUAAAGAUAAAGAUAACAUACAGUGCAAAAAGAAAUAAAUGAAGUGCGAUAUGUGCAAGUAAAGGUAAGCAUGCAUAAAUAUUUAAUUGAAGAAAAACAUACAUAACUGUCUUAUUGGAGGGCAGACUGACCCAAUUGUCUUAUUUUAGGGUGGACAAAACCCAUGUAAAAAAUGAUUAUAGAGCAAAAAAAAAACAUUUGAGAAUGAAAGUGUUCACAUGUUCCCGAUGCUGCUUUCAAAUGCCCCAAUAUCAAGUUGUGAGAUGCUGGGGAAUGCAAGAUUAUGUACUUGCUGGGAAGAAAGUGAUUUUGGGUAUAUGGUGACCGAACUCUGCAUAGAGUUUCCUACACAUGUCGAUUGUCACGAGAAUCAGGUCAAUGUAGUUCGAAAUAGGAAAAUAGGAUAAAUUUGAGGCGGCUCUCAAAAUUUGCCAGUGUAUGAUUUAUGGCCAAUACUGUCUCUUUGAAAAAAAAAAUCUUGAAAAGAUGUAUGAUGUCUUCGAUUGCCUACGAAGACUGAGGCCCUCAACUAGUGAGGUGACGAAAAUCUAUAUAAUCUUUCGACUGACGGGGCUAUUGGAAUGUAAAAGGCUCUAGACUGCAAAACAAAAUGUAAUAGGCUCUCGACUGGAGGGGCUAUAAAAAAUACUCAAAAAUGAGUGCCUAACUGAAAAAUAAAAUGUCGGUAUUUAAAGGCAUGUGCUUGAAAGAAAAAGUCAAAUGCCCAUAUUUCAAAAUUGGACGUCUUCAAUAAAAAGUAAACAUGCAUGUAUGUGGAAGUGGACACCUUGAAUGAAAGGUAAAAAAUGUCCGUAUGUGAAAGUGGGCGUCUUGAAAAAAGAAAGAAAGAAUUUUACAUUUUCUUGGUAAAAAGUGUUGAAAGAUGAAGAAGACACAAUCACAUCUUGACUUCAGUUGGUACCAAUAAUUAGUAGUGCGUAUAAGAAUUCCCCCAUCUCUUUUUUAUCUAACUGAGAUCGACUUUAGGGUAACUCCUAUAGUUUUAAGUGGUACCUCAAAAAUACCUAAGCAUCGACAAGAUUUGCUCUCUUACUUCAAAUAAAGUUUUGAGCUAUGCUUAUUUUCAUGUUUCAAGUUUCCUCUCCUGAAAGAAAGUCCCAUUUCGCAUAUAUUUGAACAUUUUUUUUAAUAUGAAGAUGUUUAGAAAAAUACGCUCACUCAGAAAGGAAUUCAGGUCAUGCAAUUGCGAUAUCAUAGGCUUGAUCUUCAUGUAAGUAUCCACUAAUGUGAGAACACUUGAAAUAGGAUCUCGUAGGACUUACUAUCGGCUUGUAAUGUAGGUUUGGGGACUGGUGGGAUAAUAUUUGGGAUAAAAGUGACUAAUUCCUCAAUGAGCAUUACACUGCAUUUGUGCUUUCAAUAUUUUUUGCUCUUUGACGCGUGAUCUUCUUUGUUGUGCAUCGUUGUCCCUUAUUUUGUAUUUUCUUCGACUUCUUUUGAAUCUUGCGUUGUAGUUUUUAUCCCUUUUUUUCAAUUAACUCUAUAUUUUUUUUAUUUUUUUUUCUUUUCUUUUUUUUUUUGUGGGGUUUUUGCUCCUGUGAAGUCGUUUUUUAAUUUUGUUCAUCUGGGACAACAUCUUUUUUGCAUUUUACGUCUUUGAUUUUAAAUCUUAGUCCAUAAAUUGCACAUAUUUAGUGCACUUAAGGAGGUAAGGCCAAGAGAGGGAUAGUGCAUGUAAGUACUCAAAAAGGUAUAGAAUCAAAUGCGGUUGUCCAAAGAAAAAAUUUUACAUUCAAAAAGGGAAUGCUAGGGAUUAAUGUCAUUUGGUGAGCUAUGGAAGGCACAAUCGGAUAAAAAAAGGCCUACGAUCCUUUUCUAAAUCAAGUAUAACUAAGAAUUUCGCCUCAACAGACAUAUUAAGGCCAAGUUCUAGAUCAACAAUGCAAUGCAAGGAAUUAAACUAAAGCUCACCACACAUUGCACAUGAAACGAUGAGGUUGGCUUCGUUCUUGUCUUAAAUAUAUGCAAGAGAAUUUUUCAAACGUUACUCAGGUGUGAUAAAAGGUACCAAAAGAAACUAUGGUUUACCAUAGAUUUAGCCCUUUCAUCAUACUAAUUUAUUUUUUCUCAUGCACACUUCCAACUGUAUUGGUAUCAACCAAUUCAAAAUUUUAUUUUAUUUUGAAAAGAAUGGGACCGAACCCAAAUGAGGGUUGCCUAUGUAUCUUGUGAAAAUAAGAAUCAGGUCUGUGUAGUUCAGAAAAAUUUAUGAAUUUAUAUGCAAUAUAUGAUUGUAAAAUUAAUGGUCAUUCAUAAAAUAAUGUGAAAGACGAUCAGGAAAAACUGCUUUUAGCAUCAAAAUUGUUCUGAUAAAAUGAUCAAAAGACUGAAUGUAAAGCAUGGGGAGAGCUUUGACACAAUUUUAAUAUACCGACAAGAUUGAAAAAGUCAGAUAUUAAGAAAAUUAUGACCUUAUUUCAUCACAGUUGGCAGAAUUAUUAUAACUGAAAAACUAUUGAACCCUUGCUUUUGAAAGUGAGGAUUGAUAUGUUAUAAAUUUAAUGGUUUACGACAUUCGAACGAAGAAGCUAGAUAUUCUUGCAUCAAAAUCGAGUAAGGAACUAAAGGUAGGUCGGCUAGGCACUAAUUAAGAUUGGAUUUGAGGAACUAUUGAUUUGCGCUCUCGAAGGCCAUUAGAGAACGUCUUUAAACUGUUUCAAAUUUUUUUUUCCAGUUUUUCAUAUCGGAGAAAUCAUUCUGAAAUAGUGAAUAGACCGAACCCUAAUAUAGGGUUGCCUACGUAUCUUGUCAGGACAAGAAUCAGGUCAAAACGUAGUUCAAACCUAUAUGAAGCUAGUGGCGAUGUUGCUACGAUUUAUUUUUUUUAACUGAUCCACUAUGCAAAAUAUAGGUUAGAUUACACCUUCCCACUAAAAUAUAAUCAAUUUAGAGAAAAUAAAUAUGUACAAAAACAAUAAUUCUUCAAAUAUGUACAAAAAAUAAUAUUGUCACCUGGGUCGUGAACCCUUCGGACACUUAAACAAAAUUGACUAAUAUGCAUGUACCUAACAGUAUUAUUUUAAUUCUAUCCCAUGUUGACUAAAAGUGAGUGGACCCGAAUUUGAAUUUCCUAUAUGAGAAGACACGUAGUCCCAUGGCAGUAAAACUUCCGCUCACCCCACGUAUAUGCCGACUCACUAAAUUAAGGUAAUUUGAAAAAACUUUGAAAAAGUACAAUGUACAAUCCGCGUGUACAAUGUGUGAGUGUCAAUUUUCCGAAAUGGAGAAAAUAAGAACGGAAUGCUAAUUUAUAUAAAACGAUAAACAAAUAAACAAUCUAUACAAAAUAAUAACAAAUAAAUAAUUUAUGCCACAUAAACAAAUAAAUCAAGACAAUUAGUAUGAAACAAAUAUUAAUGUAUAAAAAUGUAAAUAAUUACCUAAGUCUGUAAUGGCUAGAACCUUGACGUCCCCAGCAGAGUCGCCAAACUAUCAUACCCAAUUUUUAUUGAAGGUCAAAAUGAACACGACAUUAUGGACUCUAAAAGAAUAAAUUUUGUACAGAAUCGCCUCCUAAUUUUUAAGGAAAAAUGGGAAACCAACUUAUUUAUUAAGUAUGAUUUUAUUCUAAUCUACGAAACCAAUUUAAAUCUUAGGUAAGAGUUCAAAUUAUUCCGAAGGAAAGGUAUUAGACACCCUUUAGAAUCCACAAAUGUGGUUCCCUUCCAAACUUAGGUUUAUUAAACGAUGAAGAAAAAAAAUCAAUAUUUAUAAAUAAAAAUAUAAAACAUGUAAUAAAAUGUUAAAAAUAAUUUAUAUGUAAAGAAUGUGUAAGUUACAUAUAUUAUCAUAAAGUUAUUGUAUAAGAAAUGUAUUAAGAUAAACAAAAGUAUAUAAAACAUAUAUGAAAAGAAAAAAUUGAAUAAAGAAAAAAUUGUUUUAAAGAAAAAGAUUAUGUAAUAUUCUUUAGUGAAUAAAAUAUGAAUUAUUUGAUUAAAUAUUUAAAUCAAUUUUAACAUAAAUAUUAAUGGCCUAAAUUUGCCUAAACAUGCGAUGGGUACUGUAUAAGUAAAAACAUCCUGUCCAACACCUAAAAAAUAAAUAUUUCACUAUAAUUAAUAUUUUGUACAAUUGCAAGAAUAUUAAAAAAAUAUAAAUACAAAAUUCACUCCUUUCUUGAAUGUCAUUUCCGAUAUGUAUUUUCAAGAACUUGUACAAACACUUGAGGUAGACAGAUUAGUAACAAAUAAAUAAUUAUCCAAAUAAAAUAAAAUCAUGUGUGUAUAUGUAUAUAUAAAAAUAGAAUUUUUAUUAGAAGUGUGGGCUCGGAUCAAAUUUUAGGUACGUCAUGGCUAAAACAUAGUUGCUCAAUCUAUUAGCCGUCCUAAAUCGUCUUGCAAAAAUACGAAUCAAAAAAAACUUUUGCGUUGUUAUAAAAAUUUCGUCAUCACCCAAAAUUCUUUAUUUUAUUGCAUACUUAUACAUAAUAUCCGUCUUUUUAUUUAUAAAGGCCUCGAAAAUCGAUGAAAAAUUUCUUCAUAGACCAAUUAAAUUAAUACUGAAUAUAGAAGAAACAAUCAAAUACGAGUAAUUAAAUAAUAAAAAUAAAAGAUAAAAAUAAAAUAUGUAUUAUAUCUUUUAUCUUGGGGAGAUAUCAAAGAUUAACUGAAAAGUUUUAUCAUUAUUCAAUUAAUUUAUUAUCUAUAAUAAAAUAAAACUAAAACAUGCAAUUAAAAUAGUCUAAACUUGGACCCAAAUUAAAAAAUGCAAUUUCUUAAAAAUAACCUAAUCAAAUUGUUAUGGUGAAUCAAAACAAGUGUAAAGCAAAACAACAAUGAACAAAGAUUACAAAAUAAUCACAUGGAGUCACUAAAUAAUCACAUGGAAUCAUCAAGUGCACAAGGUUUAAUCUUAAAUAAACAUUAACUGUGACGAGUAAACAUUGG